AAUUGGAUAUGCCAGUGAGCUGUACGAACUUCUGUCAUCUCAUGAACUAAAAGCUACUGACGACGAUCAGCUCUACUACACAAAGCUUUUCCUUGACAAAAACAUCAGAGAGAAGCAUCAUAUAAAGCUAGAUCCACAAGGCAGCCAUCUUCCAAAAUCUGUAUGGAGCCAUAGAUGAUGUGGACAUUGUGCAAGGAACUCUGUUGAAUGUAGUAUAUGGCACAAAGCCUCUGGUAUUUCAUGGCAAUGGCAUCUCUAAAUUGGAACUCAACACAUUGGCCAAUUAUCUGGCCGAAUACUGGACAGCCGCGGAAGGUUGCAUUGGCUGCAAAGAAAACAAUAUUGAGAUACAGAAAAUUUCUGAAGCAGAUUACCCAACCGUUGUGAUUGCUGUUCAUGUGGCUGUGCCAACACCAUUCAUCAGAGAAGCAUUUGAUAAGCUCCUCCAACUUGAUUACCCUAAGAACAAAAUAUACUUCUUCAUUGCUAAC